GACGAACGCUGGCGGCGUGCUUAACACAUGCAAGUCGAACGGAAAGGCCCUGCUUUUGUGGGGUGCUCGAGUGGCGAACGGGUGAGUAACACGUGAGUAACCUGCCCUUGACUUUGGGAUAACUUCAGGAAACUGGGGCUAAUACCGGAUAGGAGCUCCUGCUGCAUGGUGGAGGUUGGAAAGUUUCGGCGGUUGGGGAUGGACUCGCGGCUUAUCAGCUUGUUGGUGGGGUAGUGGCUUACCAAGGCUUUGACGGGUAGCCGGCCUGAGAGGGUGACCGGCAACAUUGGGACUGAGAUACGGCCAAGACUCCUAAGGGAGGAAGAAGUGGGGAAUAUUGAAAAAUGGGCGGAAGCCUGAUGCAGCAACGCCGCGUGCGGGAUGAAGGCCGUCGGGUUGUAAACCGCUUUCGCCUGUGACGAAGCGUGAGUGACGGUAAUGGGUAAAGAAGCACCGGCUAACUACGUG
rnacentral:rRNA from 1 species